UACGUAGGGGGCAAGCGUUGUCCGGAAUCAUUGGGCGUAAAGAGCGUGUAGGCGGUCCGGUAAGUCCGCUGUGAAAGUCGGGGGCUCAACCCUCGAAUGCCGGUGGAUACUGUCGGGCUAGAGUACGGAAGAGGCGAGUGGAAUUCCCGGUGUAGCGGUGAAAUGCGCAGAUAUCGGGAGGAACACCUAUGGCGAAGGCAGCUCGCUGGGACGUUACUGACGCUGAGACGCGAAAGCGUGGGGAGCAAACAGGAUUAGAACGUACCGGU
rnacentral:rRNA from 1 species